AUGAAUGUCAGGAAAGGCCUUAAUCUAAUAUUUAUUCAUUCAUUUUUUUUAAUUGCCCAGUUGCCAAGCCUUGUUCUCUAUGGUGACAGAGAAGCAGGAAGAACUUCUGUUAAGCUGAAAUUGAUGUUCAAAGUAAAGCUAUUUCUCAGAAGAGUAGCGACUUGGGGCAAAGCAAUAAAACUAAGACAAAAGAACAAAGGUGAGAAAAUCAUGGGUCCAAUCUGAAGAAUAACCAUAAAAUUGCUGAACAGAAAAAUCAGGUUACUUUCCUAAAAAUUCCAUUGUUUGAGCUGUUCUAUUGUUAAUUUUUUUUAAAGAUUGAUAUAUAAACUAGAAAGAAAAUCUAUCAAACAUCUGAUGAAUUGUUCACUUUCAUUUCUAAUGUCUUGAAUUCAAUUUUUACUGAAAAUAUAAUGUAGUCUGUAUUAGUGGAGGAACAAACCAGUGGAGGUACAAACCCUAUUGUCUGUCUGUGUGUCUGUCUGUCUGUCUGUCUAUCUAUCUAUCUAUCUAUCUAUCUAUCUUAGCCUUUCAACUAUACCUUUACCAAAAGUCUAAUCUGAAAAAACAUAUUUAGCUAAUAUUUUCCAUAUCAUAUUUAGUAUGAAGGAUAGUGAUUUUGAAAAAUCCAAAAAGAAUAAGCCAAGAAAACUGAAAUGGCAUUGACCAAAGGAAACAUGGCUGGACAGGAGGAAAACUAUUUUAUUGUUCCCCCUGUUGAAUUGGUCAAAACCAAAUGACUGAAGUUUUAAAAUCAGGAAUGUGGAACUUUUGAAGAGAGAUUUUAAAAGAAAAUAUAUGGAAAAACCUACUGAAUGGUUUUAAACUACUCAAGUUCUAAGAACCUAUUCUAUUCUAGUGACAUUGAAUCAAGGCCAGAAAACUCAAUUAUCUCCUUUAAUUUUAUGGUUCAUGGUAGAGAAGAACAAUGCUUUAUCUAGUGUGCCCUAGUCUUCAAAAAAACAAAACAAAAGUUUCUGCUAGGUAUACAACUUAGCUUUUUGUGUCGAAAUGAUUUAGUCUAAUAAAAUGUCUAAUCUAUUCCCA
rnacentral:lncRNA from 1 species